ACACGGCCCAGACUCCUACGGGAGGCAGCAGUAGGGAAUCUUCCGCAAUGGACGAAAGUCUGACGGAGCAACGCCGCGUGAGUGAUGAAGGUUUUCGGAUCGUAAAGCUCUGUUGUUAGGGAAGAACAAGUGCAAGAGUAACUGCUUGCACCUUGACGGUACCUAACCAGAAAGCCACGGCUAACUACGUGCCAGCAGCCGCGGUAAUACGUAGGUGGCAAGCGUUGUCCGGAAUUAUUGGGCGUAAAGGGCUCGCAGGCGGUUUCUUAAGUCUGAUGUGAAAGCCCCCGGCUCAACCGGGGAGGGUCAUUGGAAACUGGGAAACUUGAGUGCAGAAGAGGAGAGUGGAAUUCCACGUGUAGCGGUGAAAUGCGUAGAGAUGUGGAGGAACACCAGUGGCGAAGGCGACUCUCUGGUCUGUAACUGACGCUGAGGAGCGAAAGCGUGGGGAGCGAACAGGAUUAGAUACCCUGGUAGUCCACGCCGUAAACGAUGAGUGCUAAGUGUUAGGGGGUUUCCGCCCCUUAGUGCUGCAGCUAACGCAUUAAGCACUCCGCCUGGGGAGUACNGNGUCGCAAGACUGAAACUCAAAGGAAUUGACGGGGGCCCGCGCAAGCGGUGGAGCAUGUGGUUUAAUUCGAAGCAACGCGAAGAACCUUACCAGGUCUUGACAUCCUCUGACAACCCUAGAGAUAGGGCUUUCCCUUCGGGGACAGAGUGACAGGUGGUGCAUGGUUGUCGUCAGCUCGUGUCGUGAGAUGUUGGGUUAAGUCCCGCAACGAGCGCAACCCUUGAUCUUAGUUGCCAGCAUUUAGUUGGGCACUCUAAGGUGACUGCCGGUGACAAACCGGAGGAAGGUGGGGAUGACGUCAAAUCAUCAUGCCCCUUAUGACCUGGGCUACACACGUGCUACAAUGGACAGAACAAAGGGCUGCGAGACCGCAAGGUUUAGCCAAUCCCACAAAUCUGUUCUCAGUUCGGAUCGCAGUCUGCAACUCGACUGCGUGAA
rnacentral:rRNA from 1 species